rnacentral:rRNA from 1 species
CCGGAGGGAAACCGAGUCUUAACCGGGCGUUAAGUUGCAGGGUAUAGACCCGAAACCCGGUGAUCUAGCCAUGGGCAGGUUGAAGGUUGGGUAACACUAACUGGAGGACCGAACCGACUAAUGUUGAAAAAUUAGCGGAUGACCUGUGGCUGGGGGUGAAAGGCCAAUCAAACCGGGAGAUAGCUGGUUCUCCCCGAAAGCUAUUUAGGUAGCGCCUCGUGAAUUCAUCUCCGGGGGUAGAGCACUGUUUCGGCUAGGGGGCCAUCCCGGCUUACCAACCCGAUGCAAACUGCGAAUACCGGAGAAUGUUAUCACGGGAGACACACGGCGGGUGCUAACGUCCGUCGUGAAGAGGGAAACAACCCAGACCGCCAGCUAAGGUCCCAAAGUCAUGGUUAAGUGGGAAACGAUGUGGGAAGGCCCAGACAGCCAGGAUGUUGGCUUAGAAGCAGCCAUCAUUUAAAGAAAGCGUAAUAGCUCACUGGUCGAGUCGGCCUGCGCGGAAGAUGUAACGGGGCUAAACCAUGCACCGAAGCUGCGGCAGCGACACUGUGUGUUGUUGGGUAGGGGAGCGUUCUGUAAGCCUGUGAAGGUGUGUCGUGAGGCAUGCUGGAGGUAUCAGAAGUGCGAAUGCUGACAUAAGUAACGAUAAAGCGGGUGAAAAGCCCGCUCGCCGGAAGACCAAGGGUUCCUGUCCAACGUUAAUCGGGGCAGGGUGAGUCGACCCCUAAGGCGAGGCCGAAAGGCGUAGUCGAUGGGAAACGGGUUAAUAUUCCCGUACUUGGUGUUACUGCGAAGGGGGGACGGAGAAGGCUAUGUUGGCCGGGCGACGGUUGUCCCGGUUUAAGCGUGUAGGUGUGUGUUCCAGGUAAAUCCGGUUCACUUUAACACUGAGGCGUGACGACGAGGCACUACGGUGCUGAAGCAACAAAUGCCCUGCUUCCAGGAAAAGCCUCUAAGCAUCAGGUAACAUCAAAUCGUACCCCAAACCGACACAGGUGGUCAGGUAGAGAAUACCAAGGCGCUUGAGAGAACUCGGGUGAAGGAACUAGGCAAAAUGGUGCCGUAACUUCGGGAGAAGGCACGCUGACACGUAGGUGAAGUGAUUUACUCAUGGAGCUGAAGUCAGUCGAAGAUACCAGCUGGCUGCAACUGUUUAUUAAAAACACAGCACUGUGCAAACACGAAAGUGGACGUAUACGGUGUGACGCCUGCCCGGUGCCGGAAGGUUAAUUGAUGGGGUCAGCGCAAGCGAAGCUCCUGAUCGAAGCCCCGGUAAACGGCGGCCGUAACUAUAACGGUCCUAAGGUAGCGAAAUUCCUUGUCGGGUAAGUUCCGACCUGCACGAAUGGCGUAAUGAUGGCCAGGCUGUCUCCACCCGAGACUCAGUGAAAUUGAACUCGCUGUGAAGAUGCAGUGUACCCGCGGCAAGACGGAAAGACCCCGUGAACCUUUACUAUAGCUUGACACUGAACAUUGAGCCUUGAUGUGUAGGAUAGGUGGGAGGCUUUGAAGUGUGGACGCCAGUCUGCAUGGAGCCGACCUUGAAAUACCACCCUUUAAUGUUUGAUGUUCUAACGUGGACCCGUUACCCGGGUUGCGGACAGUGUCUGGUGGGUAGUUUGACUGGGGCGGUCUCCUCCUAAAGAGUAACGGAGGAGCACGAAGGUUGGCUAAUCCUGGUCGGACAUCAGGAGGUUAGUGCAAUGGCAUAAGCCAGCUUGACUGCGAGCGUGACGGCGCGAGCAGGUGCGAAAGCAGGUCAUAGUGAUCCGGUGGUUCUGAAUGGAAGGGCCAUCGCUCAACGGAUAAAAGGUACUCCGGGGAUAACAGGCUGAUACCGCCCAAGAGUUCAUAUCGACGGCGGUGUUUGGCACCUCGAUGUCGGCUCAUCACAUCCUGGGGCUGAAGUAGGUCCCAAGGGUAUGGCUGUUCGCCAUUUAAAGUGGUACGCGAGCUGGGUUUAGAACGUCGUGAGACAGUUCGGUCCCUAUCUGCCGUGGGCGCUGGAGAACUGAGGGGGGCUGCUCCUAGUACGAGAGGACCGGAGUGGACGCAUCACUGGUGUUCGGGUUGUCAUGCCAAUGGCACUGCCCGGUAGCUAAAUGCGGAAGAGAUAAGUGCUGAAAGCAUCUAAGCACGAAACUUGCCCCGAG